GGGUUGUGAGGUUAAGCGACUAAGCGUACACGGUGGAUGCCCUGGCAGUCAGAGGCGAUGAAGGACGUGCUAAUCUGCGAUAAGCGCCGGUAAGGUGAUAUGAACCGUUAUAACCGGCGAUUUCCGAAUGGGGAAACCCAGUGUGACUCGUCACACUAUCAUUAACUGAAUCCAUAGGUUAAUGAGGCGAACCGGGGGAACUGAAACAUCUAAGUACCCCGAGGAAAAGAAAUCAACCGAGAUUCCCCCAGUAGCGGCGAGCGAACGGGGAGGAGCCCAGAGCCUGAAUCAGCAUGUGUGUUAGUGGAAGCGUCUGGAAAGGCGCGCGAUACAGGGUGACAGCCCCGUACACAAAAGCGCAUGUGCUGUGAGCUCGAUGAGUAGGGCGGGACACGUGGUAUCCUGUCUGAAUAUGGGGGGACCAUCCUCCAAGGCUAAAUACUCCUGACUGACCGAUAGUGAACCAGUACCGUGAGGGAAAGGCGAAAAGAACCCCGGCGAGGGGAGUGAAAAAGAACCUGAAACCGUGUACGUACAAGCAGUGGGAGCACCCUUUGGGGUGUGACUGCGUACCUUUUGUAUAAUGGGUCAGCGACUUAUAUUCUGUAGCAAGGUUAACCGCAUAGGGGAGCCGGAGGGAAACCGAGUCUUAAUUGGGCGUUAAGUUGCAGGGUAUAGACCCGAAACCCGGUGAUCUAGCCAUGGGCAGGUUGAAGGUUGGGUAACACUAACUGGAGGACCGAACCGACUAAUGUUGAAAAAUUAGCGGAUGACCUGUGGCUGGGGGUGAAAGGCCAAUCAAACCGGGAGAUAGCUGGUUCUCCCCGAAAGCUAUUUAGGUAGCGCCUCGUGAAUUCAUCUCCGGGGGUAGAGCACUGUUUCGGCUAGGGGGCCAUCCCGGCUUACCAACCCGAUGCAAACUGCGAAUACCGGAGAAUGUUAUCACGGGAGACACACGGCGGGUGCUAACGUCCGUCGUGAAGAGGGAAACAACCCAGACCGCCAGCUAAGGUCCCAAAGUCAUGGUUAAGUGGGAAACGAUGUGGGAAGGCCCAGACAGCCAGGAUGUUGGCUUAGAAGCAGCCAUCAUUUAAAGAAAGCGUAAUAGCUCACUGGUCGAGUCGGCCUGCGCGGAAGAUGUAACGGGGCUAAACCAUGCACCGAAGCUGCGGCAGCGACACUCAGGUGUUGUUGGGUAGGGGAGCGUUCUGUAAGCCUGCGAAGGUGUGUCGUGAGGCAUGCUGGAGGUAUCAGAAGUGCGAAUGCUGACAUAAGUAACGAUAAAGCGGGUGAAAAGCCCGCUCGCCGGAAGACCAAGGGUUCCUGUCCAACGUUAAUCGGGGCAGGGUGAGUCGACCCCUAAGGCGAGGCCGAAAGGCGUAGUCGAUGGGAAACGGGUUAAUAUUCCCGUACUUGGUGUUACUGCGAAGGGGGGACGGAGAAGGCUAUGUUGGCCGGGCGACGGUUGUCCCGGUUUAAGCGUGUAGGUGUGUGUUCCAGGUAAAUCCGGUUCACUUUAACACUGAGGCGUGAUGACGAGGCACUACGGUGCUGAAGCAACAAAUGCCCUGCUUCCAGGAAAAGCCUCUAAGCAUCAGGUAACAUCAAAUC
rnacentral:rRNA from 1 species